GCUCAUUCCACCAUGGUGUGCUGAGAAGUGGCUCAGGGGAUCAUUUCUGCAUGCUGCUAUCAGGAAAUUCAAUGCUUCCUCCUGACAUCAUACUCUAAAACGGAAAUCCACAAGGUUCAACAUAUAAAGCUCUAUGUUUCCCAGAAUCACAUUCCUGAGAAAUGUAAGGACUUGCCAACAAUUUAUUUUCUCACGGAUAGAAAUGACGCUAUCAAUCCUGUCUGCUGUUCUGAAGAUAUGGAAGAAGUUCUGCCAAAGUUUACAGAGAUGGGUUACAUGAACAAUGAUUUACUUAUGAUCCUCAACAACCUUCUGACCUUUGUGUUCAUUCCACUUUUCUCUGCCAGACAACAACACAUUAGGGCACAGCAAAUUGAAAUUAAUGUGAAAGAAAAUGUAAAUUUAAAGCAGCCAAUUUUGUCGCAGAGUAGCUAUCCAAUCAAAGGCAAGCUGUUAGCAAGCAGUUACAAAUGGUACGGUCAAAUUCAAUUUGCAAUUCA